UGGGGAAUUUUGGACAAUGGGGGCAACCCUGAUCCAGCCAUGCCGCGUGUGUGAAGAAGGCCUUCGGGUUGUAAAGCACUUUCGGCCGGAACGAAAUCGCGCGGGCUAUUACCCCGCGUGGAUGACGGUACCGGAAGAAGAAGCCCCGGCUAACUUCGUGCCAGCAGCCGCGGUAAUACGAAGGGGGCUAGCGUUGUUCGGAAUUACUGGGCGUAAAGCGCACGUAGGCGGACUGAUAAGUCAGGGGUGAAAUCCCGGGGCUCAACCUCGGAACUGCCUUUGGAACUGUCAGACUAGAGUAUAGCAGAGGGGGGUAGAAUUCCACGUGUAGCAGUGAAAUGCGUAGAGAUGUGGAGGAAUACCAAUGGCGAAGGCAGCCCCCUGGGUUAAUACUGACGCUCAUGCACGAAAGCGUGGGGAGCAAACAGGAUUAGAUACCCCCGUAGUCCCUGAGCGGGCUGGCAAGGCGCAU
rnacentral:rRNA from 1 species